rnacentral:rRNA from 1 species
UACGAAGGGGGCUAGCGUUGCUCGGAAUCACUGGGCGUAAAGCGCACGUAGGCGGAUCUUUAAGUCAGGGGUGAAAUCCCAAGGCUCAACCUUGGAACUGCCUUUGAUACUGGGGAUCUCGAGUCCGGAAGAGGUUGGUGGAACUGCGAGUGUAGAGGUGAAAUUCGUAGAUAUUCGCAAGAACACCAGUGGCGAAGGCGGGCCAACUGGUCCCGGAACUGGACCGCUGA